GACGAACGCUGGCGGCGUGCUUAACACAUGCAAGUCGAACGGAAAGGCCCCUUCGGGGGUACUCGAGUGGCGAACGGGUGAGUAACACGUGAGUAACCUGCCCUUGACUUCGGGAUAACUUCAGGAAACUGGGGCUAAUACCGGAUAGGAAUCCUUGCUGCAUGGUGGGGGUUGGAAAGCUUCGGCGGUUUUGGAUGGACUCGCGGCUUAUCAGCUUGUUGGUGGGGUAGUGGCUUACCAAGGCUUUGACGGGUAGCCGGCCUGAGAGGGCGACCGGCCACAUUGGGACUGAGAUACGGCCCAGACUCCUACGGGAGGCAGCAGGGGGGAAUAUUGCACAAUGGGCGGAAGCCUGAUGCAGCAACGCCGCGUGCGGGAGGACGGCCUUCGGGUUGUAAACCGCUUUCAGCAGGGGCGAAGCUUGUGGUGACGGUACCUGCAGAAGAAGCACCGGCUAACUACGUG
rnacentral:rRNA from 1 species